rnacentral:snoRNA from 1 species
AGUCACCUGGUACUUGCCAUAGGCUGUGUUUUUACAGUGACUGUACAGAAAGAGGAGGCAAAAUAAACCAAGCUGUAUAUACCUCAGCCAGGCCUAUGCCUAGUCUUAUUAUGAAUAGGGAGACAUGG